CAAAUCAAUAAAAACUAUAGUUGAGCACCAAUGGUGUAUUUAACAUAGACAUGAUAUGAAACUGUCCAAAGUCCAAGCAAAUGAGUGAGUUUUUUUGUUCUUACUUCUUUUUCUGACACUGAUUCUUGAUCCAUUUGAAUCCGGCAGAGGUUCCACUCUUCACCUUCUGAGCACCUACCACAGCAGCUGACUUAGCUUUGUCAGCACCGACGAUUGCAACUGUUUUCGCUUUGCCCAUACUAACCGACGCCAUAGCUUUUGCAUCUGCCAUCUUGCCACUUCCGUUGCUCUUAUUAUUCUUCUUCACCAUCACAUCGUCCUCAUACUCGUCGCUGCCAAGCCCACCAUUUCCCCAUUGGUCAGACCAACUUGGUGCCUUGCUACCCAUGUUGU